rnacentral:rRNA from 1 species
UACGUAGGUGGCAAGCGUUGUCCGGAAUUAUUGGGCGUAAAGCGCGCGCAGGCGGUCCUGUAAGUCCGUUGUGAAAGUCAAAGGCUCAACCUUUGAAAGCCGAUGGAUACUGCAGGGCUAGAGUCCGGAAGAGGCGAGUGGAAUUCCUGGUGUAGCGGUGGAAUGCGCAGAUAUCAGGAGGAACACCAAUAGCGAAGGCAGCUCGCUGGGACGGUACUGACGCUAAGGCGCGAAAGCGUGGGGAGCGAACAGG